AUUUAUAUAGUAUAUAUAUAGUACAAUUAAUUUCCAAUUAAUUAGUUUAUUAAAUAAUAUAAAUA
rnacentral:tRNA from 1 species